rnacentral:rRNA from 1 species
GGAAAAGAAACUAACAAGGAUUCCCCUAGUAGCGGCGAGCGAAGCGGGAAGAGCUCAAAUUUAUAAUCUGGCACCUUCGGUGUCCGAGUUGUAAUCUCUAGAAAUGUUUUCCGCGUUGGACCGCACACAAGUCUGUUGGAAUACAGCGGCAUAGUGGUGAGACCCCCGUAUAUGGUGCGGACGCCCAGCGCUUUGUGAUACAUUUUCGAAGAGUCGAGUUGUUUGGGAAUGCAGCUCAAAUUGGGUGGUAAAUUCCAUCUAAAGCUAAAUAUUGGCGAGAGACCGAUAGCGAACAAGUACCGUGAGGGAAAGAUGAAAAGCACUUUGGAAAGAGAGUUAACAGUACGUGAAAUUGUUGGAAGGGAAACGCUUGAAGUCAGACUUGCUUGCCGAGCAAUCGGUUUGCAGGCCAGCAUCAGUUUUCCGGGAUGGAUAAUGGUAGAGAGAAGGUAGCAGUUUCGGCUGUGUUAUAGCUCUCUGCUGGAUACAUCUUGGGGGACUGAGGAACGCAGUGUGCCUUUGGCGGGGGUUUCGACCUCUUCACACUUAGGAUGCUGGUGGAAUGGCUUUAAACGACCCGUCU